rnacentral:rRNA from 1 species
AGUGAACGCUGGCGGUAGGCCUAACACAUGCAAGUCGAACGGCAGCACAGUAAGAGCUUGCUCUUACGGGUGGCGAGUGGCGGACGAGUGAGGAAUACAUCGGAAUCUACUUUUUCGUGGGGGAUAACGUAGGGAAACUUACGCUAAUACCGCAUACGACCUACGGGGGAAUGCAGGGGAUCUUCGGACCUUGCGCGAUUGAAUGAGCCGAUGUCGGAUUAGCUAGUUGGCGGGGUAAAGGCCCACCAAGGCGACGAUCCGUAGCUGGUCUGAGAGGAUGAUCAGUCACACUGGAACUGAGACACGGUCCAGACUCCUACGGGAGGCAGCAGUGGGGAAUAUUGGACAAUGGGCGCAAGCCUGAUCCAGCCAUACCGCGUGGGUGAAGAAGGCCUUCGGGUUGUAAAGCCCUUUUGUUGGGAAAGAAAAGCAGCAGGUUAAUACCUCGCUGUUCUGACGGUACCCAAAGAAUAAGCACCGGCUAACUUCGUG